rnacentral:rRNA from 1 species
AACGAACGCUGGCGGCGUGCUUAACACAUGCAAGUCGAACGGGACGUCCCGGUUGGGGGUCGCAGGGGGGCGUACGGCGGGGUAACCUGCCCGUAAGUUGCGAAUGACUCCCCGAAAGCUGUGCUAAUACCGGAUAAUUUCUUCAUAGCAAUGAUUUCUGGCCUUUGGAUGUGGCCGCGUUUGGUUGGCUAGUGGGUAGGGUACAGGCCUGCAAAGGCGUCGAUCCAUAGCUGGUCUGAGAGGAUGAUCAGUCACACUGGGACUGAGACACGGCCCAGACGGCUAGGAGAGGCAGGGGAGGGUAAUAUAGGAGAAGGAGCGUAAGCCUGAUACAGCACUGGCGGGUGAGCGAUGAAGGCGUUAGGAUUCUAAAGCUGCAUUACCCGGGAUGAUAAUGACAGUACCGGGAGAAGAAGCACCGGCUAACUACGUG